GUGGGGAAUAUUGCACAAUGGGCGCAAGCCUGAUCCAGCCAUGCCGCGUGUGUGAAGAAGGUCUUCGGAUUGUAAAGCACUUUAAGUUGGGAGGAAGGGUAGUAACCUAAUACGUUGCUACUUUGACGUUACCGACAGAAUAAGCACCGGCUAACUUCGUGCCAGCAGCCGCGGUAAUACGAAGGGUGCAAGCGUUAAUCGGAAUUACUGGGCGUAAAGCGCGCGUAGGUGGUUCAGUAAGUUGGAAGUGAAAUCCCCGGGCUCAACCUGGGAACUGCUUUCAAAACUGCUGAGCUAGAGUACGGUAGAGGGUGGUGGAAUUUCCUGUGUAGCGGUGAAAUGCGUAGAUAUAGGAAGGAACACCAGUGGCGAAGGCGACCACCUGGACUGAUACUGACACUGAGGUGCGAAAGCGUGGGGAGCAAACAGGAUUAGAAACCCGAGUAGUCC
rnacentral:rRNA from 1 species